rnacentral:rRNA from 1 species
GAUAGUUUACUAUUUUGGUGGCGACCGGCGCACGGGUGAGUAACGCGUAUGUAACCUACCUUAUACAGGAGUAUAGCCCGAAGAAAUUCGGAUUAAUCCUCCAUAGUAUUUUCUAAUGGCAUCAUUUGGAAAAUUAAAGCUUCGGCGGUAUAAGAUGGGCAUGCGUCCUAUUAGCUAGAUGGUAAGGUAAUGGCUUACCAUGGCUACGAUAGGUAGGGGGCCUGAGAGGGUGAUCCCCCACACUGGUACUGAGACACGGACCAGACUCCUACGGGAGGCAGCAGUGAGGAAUAUUGGUCAAUGGGCGCAAGCCUGUACCAGCCAUGCCGCGUGCAGGAAGAAUGCCCUAUGGGUUGUAAACUGCUUUUAUUUAGGAAUAAACCCCUCUACGUGUAGAGGGCUGAAUGUACUAAACGAAUAAGCACCGGCUAACUCCGUGCCAGCAGCCGCGGUAAUACGGAGGGUGCAAGCGUUAUCCGGAAUCAUUGGGUUUAAAGGGUCCGCAGGCGGACGUAU